rnacentral:lncRNA from 1 species
CCGGAGGCAGAAGGGUUCUCCACCUCCCGCACUAUUUCUUGUCGGGGCGGGACAGAUUCGAAGCAGGUUAUAUUUUAUUUUAUUUUUAUCUCCCACUUACCGCUUUAUUCGGGACAGGAGCGGAUUUUUGACGAAUUUUUAACCGAUCGGGACGGAUUAAAGGAAGAAAAGGAUUUACCGUCUGCCGCUCUAUUUAUUUAACGGAUCGGAAUAAAUUCGGGACAGAGUUAUAUUUUUCUAUAAUUUUAAUUUUCACUUACCAUCUCAUUCGGAGCGGAUUGGAGCGGGAGCUCCGCUAACUGAGAUCCAUUUGCAUCCCUA